GACGAACGCUGGCAGCGUGCUUAACACAUGCAAGUCGAACGGAAAGGCCCUGCUUUUGUGGGGUGCUCGAGUGGCGAACGGGUGAGUAACACGUGAGUAACCUGCCCUUGACUUUGGGAUAACUUCAGGAAACUGGGGCUAAUACCGGAUAGGAGCUCCUGCUGCAUGGUGGGGGUUGGAAAGUUUCGGCGGUUGGGGAUGGACUCGCGGCUUAUCAGCUUGUUGGUGGGGUAGUGGCUUACCAAGGCUUUGACGGGUAGCCGGCCUGAGAGGGUGACCGGCCACAUUGGGACUGAGAUACGGCCCAGACUCCUACGGGAGGCAGCAGUGGGGAAUAUUGCACAAUGGGCGGAAGCCGGAUGCAGCAACGCCGCGUGCGGAUGACGGCCUUCGGGUUGUAAACCGCUUUCGCCUGUGACGAAGCGUGAGUGACGGUAAUGGGUAAAGAAGCACCGGCUAACUACGUG
rnacentral:rRNA from 1 species